rnacentral:lncRNA from 1 species
UGGGAACUGAGGACACAGGGCAAGCAGGGCAGGACAGGUCCUGGCCCCGGGGUGCUCCAAGUCUAAUGGAAAUAGGUAAAUAAGCAUUAGCUCCAUCAGUGAGGUCUAGAAAGGAGCUAUGCAGGCACUGGACAGAGAAUUCCAGGGAAGCAGCUCCUAAUGUGGCGGGGGCAGCCACCCAAGGAAGUGGGUGUUCCAGCGGAGGACGAUCCAAAUGCGGCGGGGCAGCUGCCCAGGGAAGUGGGUGUUCCAGCGGAGGGCGAUCUUCACGUGAAAAAGCCAGGGGCAGGAUUCCAGGCCCAGGGAACAGCAGCGGUGUGUGCCAGGCCUGGGGCUGAUGGUGCGUUCUGGGUACCCUGGAGAGGAGCCUGCCCCACCACUGCUCUGGAAGGGCUUAGAGGUGAAUGCGGAAGAUCAGAUGAUCAAAUAUGUAUAUAUGUGUAUGGCAAGGAUUCCUGCUAAAGGGGAAACUCAGUCUCUCUCCUGCCUAUGUCCCCUGGUCUCAUUAAGUAAUUGAUCUAGUGAAUCAUUGCUUCAUGGAUUCAUAGAUUUACUUCUUAAUUGCAUGGUUAGUUAGUUCAUUCAUUCAUCUAACAGAUCUUGAUUGUGGCUUCCUCUGAGUCAGGCACUGUGUGGGGUCUGGGGAAUGGAUGUGAACAAGACGGACGCCUCCUUGAUCCUGGGAAACAUACCCUCUAGAGGGGCGAGACAAGGACAAAUACACAGAGGAACUCCAACAAGACCGAUGAGACUACAGAGACAGGAAACAAGAAAACUUAAGCUUAGGCCACCCAUCUGCCACCCGGGCUCUGGGAGGCCACACGAGCAUGCACAGAUGCGGCGAGUCUAAAUUCAUCGUCCAUAGGAAGCUGUCUUACGUGGGAGAACUUACCCCCAGUCUUCCUUCUCUCCUCCUCCCCCAGGACAGAAACAAAAUUAAAAAUGUUUCCACUGAAAGGUGAAUAGUGCCUCACAAAACUCUGUCCUCCUCGCCCCCUGAGCUCAAGGACUCUCCAACAAUUUCAGAAAGUAGGUGCCUUGAGUAACCCCAUUCUGCAGAUAAAAAGACUGAGGGUCAGAGAGCACCAGUAACUUGCCCAAAUUCACAGCUAGUAAAAUAAUGG